GGCUUCUACCCUGGGCAGAUUGCAAAGAGUUCAUCUGUCUCCAGAAAUUCAUCAUAGUGGAAGAACCUGAAAAAGGUUCCAUUAAAAUAAAGAACGUACGGAGUCUCCAGCCAAAUCCAGGAGCAAAUCCAAAUCACGGUCUCUUAGAGGUUUUCACUGUUCAACAUCUUCUGAUUUCAGAGAUCUGUCAGUAGAAGGUAAUGAAAAUGCUGUGGUGGCAAGUAAUGAAGACAAACUUGUGACAAGAGCUACAUUUCCAUCAGAUAUGACUCAGUAAGCAUCCAUCAGCAGAUCCACAAAGCUGAAGAAAGGCAUUCUUACUUCUGGUCAUGAAUGGGCUGCCUGAGACUUGAGUAGAUUAUCUGAGACUUGACACAGCCUGAGAUUUCAAUUCAUUUUCUUCUUCUGACUGUGAAUCUGAGUCAGGCAAUUAAAUUAUAAAGGGGCUAUCAGCCAAUAGGAAACAGCUGCAGAGGCUGGUCUGCAAGAGGAGUCUAAUUCAUAGACACUAUAUUCCUAUCUGUAGAAGUAUUGUUUCAGGUUCAUGAGUGACUACAAGGGCAUGAAGCUGCUUUCUUGCUUUAUUCAAACUAUGGAUCAGGAGGACAUCAUGUAUCUACAUCACUACCCUUAAUUCUAGUGUCAAAAUCUUAUCUUUAAUUCCUGCUACUGUUAUGCUUUUCCUUGCUGAAAGAAUAAAUGUUUAAUUUCAAUGAAAUAGAAGUCAGAAAAAAAAUAGAAAAGUUUUGCAAAAAUAAGAUUACCUAGCAAGAUGGUGUAUAGAAUGAACCUUCUUUCUCAAUCUGCAUUACAUUCUCAAGAAGAUGAAAAAAUUCUUCUCCUCAUAUUUAAAGAUGAACUACAAAAAUAGCACUAGUGUUUUAGUGAAUGUAUUCAACAUACAGUCCUACUCUGGGCAUAUGCAAUGCCACUAAGCAGCAUUUUUUUUAAUGAAAUAGGACUUUGAAAUUCCAGAUUCUUUGCUUGUUUUAUGGCUUCUGAGAUGUAAAUGGAAGAGAGGAACAGGUAUGUCUCACUAUCUUAACAGAGACAGAGAUACUGUAUUUAAGUUUUACUUUCAGCAACCAAAAAGAGAAUGCUGUGUUGUUUGAUGUAAUCCAGUCUGGCUCCACGAAAUCCCAAGAGGCACUGGUGUUGAUUUAUGAUAAUACAAGGAAAUAUGAAGUGUACAAGGAAAUACAAAGAUAUAAAGGCAAGUUUUUGAAAUGUUGUUCAGUGAAAAGGAAGAAAAACUGGUCAGUGCUACUCCAUCAGGCAAGAUCCAUUUUCAGUUCACUGACUAGCAGGUCACCACAGGCAUUAUCAGAAGCUCUGAUCAACUGUAUCGGUAUAAUUAAAUGUGUCCCAUUUUAAGUACGAUAUCUCCUUGUUCCAGAACUCACCAUCACAGAAGAUUAUGACCUGGUGAUGGUGCGAAGAAAUACAGCAUAUAAUUUUAGAACUGUACUGUCCCCUAUGGCCAACGACAUGAUUUAGAGAGUCAUAGAACUAUUAAGGUUGGAAAAGACCUCCAAGAUCAUCUAGUCCAACAGUCCAGCAACCACCAGUAUUUCCCUACUAAACCAUGUCCCUUAGUACAACAUCUAAAUGUUUCUUGAACACCUCCAGAGACAGUGACUUAACCACCUCCCUCGGCUGCCUGUUCAAGUGCCUGACCACUCUUUUGGAAAAGGAAUUUUUCCUAAUAUCUAACCUGAACCUUUCCUGGAGCUACUUGAGGCCAUUCCCUGUUGUCCUGUUGCUAGUUAUGUGGGAGAAGAGGCUGACCUCCACCUCCCCACAUCCUCCUUUUGGGGAGUUUUAGAGAGCAAUAAGAAGUUAUUAAAUCCACCAGUAGUCUUAAUUUUCAAUAAUUAAGUCACCAAAUUGUAUUUGGUUCUCUUUGAUAUUCGUAUAGCUAACUGGAACCAAUUUGUGUUUGUUUUUUGCAUUGCUUUUUCAGACUAUUGUGGAAGGAGCUGUAUGUUUAACCACACAUGUUAUAUAUGUUGAACUUUGUCCCACCAUGCAUUCUGUUUAUGUGUCAGUGUAGUGAGCUGCUUCAAACAGUGAUGAUGUCUUACCAAAACAAAUUUUAAAAGUUUGGAUUAUCUAGAAUAGAAUUUUCAUUCCCAAAUUACAUAGAAAAUACAGAUGGGUCUUACUAAGUAUUGCAUCUGUGACAUGAUCUAGGUGCAGGUUAUCUUAACUCAUCAGAUUAAGAGCUAUAUAUUUGUAAAGAUGACUUGUGAAUGAAGAGUUACCGGAGAGAUGAUGUAGUAUGUGUCUAUCAUUAGGUGAACCAGAAAACAGGAAAUUCUUACGCAGAAUAUAGCAGGAAUAAUGAUUGUUCACACGGAGCUGCUUUAGAUUAAAUAGGAUUUAGAUGUAGCUGGAUUUAUCAAUAUGGAAAUUAAUUGUAUAUGCCUCAAUUAAAGAAUGAUCUCUCUAAAGACAAGGCAAUAAAUUUUGAAAGUCUUAGCAAGUGAUGGUUCAUUUUUUCUCUUAUUUUGUUGCUAUUUCUCUUUAAUCUUUAAGGAUUUACUCCAAAAAGUACUAUAGAAUUAAUGGAAUUUUUAUUUGAUGUUAGAUUAACUCUGUGAGUCUUUUCAAUAAACUGUGAGGAUUUCAUAAUUCAUGACUCUGUAACUUUCAGUACUGGAUGAAGUGCUGCAAUCAGUGCUCAUCAAACACAAAAUAUUUAUGGAUCAAGAUUUGGGAAUUAUAAAUCCUGUAAUUUAUUGGCAAUAAAGUAAGAUAAC
ensembl:lncRNA